GAUAGGUGGGAGGCGUUGAAGAUUUUCUUGCGGGGAGAUUGGAGCCGUUGGUGAGAUACCACUCUAACAAUGCUAGGAUUCUAACCCUAUACCGUUAUCCGGUUAGGGGACAGUUUCAGGUGGUCAGUUUGACUGGGGCGGUCGCCUCCCAAAAGGUAACGGAGGCGUGCAAAGGUUUCCACAGGCUGGUCGGAAAUCAGUCGUAGAGUGUAAAGGCAUAAGGAAGCUUGAUUGUGAGACCUACAAGUCGAACAAAGACGAAAGUCGGCCUUAGUGAUCCGACGGUUCCGAGUGGAAGGGCCGUCGCUCAACGGAUAAAAGUUACUCUAGGGAUAACAGGCUGA
rnacentral:rRNA from 1 species